rnacentral:sRNA from 1 species
UCUGAACGAAUUAGAUCCUUGGUA